AUGAGGGAGCUCGCGGAGUCCAUGAAGUGUGGUGGUUUCAUCGUUUCGCAUGUUUUCCAAGUUGGGUUACAGUCUAUAAUUUACAACCUGCUAGCAGACUCAAAGAAGGUUAUCAUGCCAGUUAAAUUCUCGGUCAGGUUACAACAGAUGGUAUGGAAUACAAAAGAGAUUACUGCCAGGUUUAAUAAGUCAAAUCACUUGGACCGAAAAGACAUGAUUAUGUUUCCUAUCCUAGAGAACAUUGAUCCAGAAAAACCAGUAUCGAGGAAUCAUUACUGUGUGUUUAACUUGAACAUAAGAGACAAGAGGCUCGAAGUCCUUGAUUCCUGGAGGACACUAGACAAUCCUGUCUUGGACAAGAACGCUAGGUGGAUAGCAGCAACUGUUCGUAGUUUAUGGGAGCAUCAUUAUGGCCACUCACGUGUUGUGCUGGAUAAGUAUCCGCUAGUCAACAUCGAUGUCCCGAGGCAGAACAAUGAGUAA
rnacentral:rRNA from 1 species